GCCGCAAGACAGAAGCACUACAAUGAAAAGAGAGGCUCGGCAAGGGAACGUAUCUGCCCGUAACUCUUCUAGUUGCCAAGAAGCAUAGACGGAACAUAUGGUCACUUUGUAAAGAGUGAAGAAGGGGAUGGAUCUCAGUUGAGAAGACUCAGAGUUCCAUGCCAUAGAAAGGCUUUUACUGCGGGAGUCAAGAAACUUCAAGACUGCCAGGAACAGAAACUGCCCAAUCAGAAGAUGAGGUAGAAGACUUGAAAGAGGAGAUGGACUGGGGAAUUUCCACAACCCAGACUCUGGAUGCAGCCCAUCUGCUUGAACCCCAUGAACAAGGGGAACCCAGUGGACCAGGCCCCACACCCCUUCCAUGACCUGAAGGCAUGGCUCUUUCCUCUUCAUCAAAUUUGGAAGAUUCUACUGAGCACCCAGCAUAUAUGUCAGAGCCCCUCCAGUACUAUUGGAGUCAGUGGCUAGCAUCCGAACAAAUAAAGUGCAUGUGUUAGAAGACUCUGUGAAAAUGCAAUGGAGACCUGUGCACAACUCCCUCAGUCUUUCACUGUUGUGCCAGAGGUCCCAGCUAUGCCCACACUUCAAAAGCAAUCUAAAGGAGAAGGAACACAUUUCUGAGGGUCAACGACAUGCUUCUUUCUUUACAGAGCAUCUCCAUGUUGUGGGCAUUGCUGAAAAGUUACACCCUCUGGUGUAACAGCACGCAGAGGAGGAAUGGUGGAGUUGUGCAUGGGCUCCGCUUUCCGGAGACUGGACAAUAUGUUCUGGCUUCUCUGAAUCCCACAAUGCAUCAUGCACUGAGCGCGGUGCAUUGGGGGAUCCCCCUGUCAGACAAGUGCUCUAGGCAAGUAUAUUAGGCUAAGCAUAUUAGGCUGAGUAUAUUAGGCAAGUAUACUAGGCUAACUGCUGGGUACAAAAGUCAGGUUAGGCGGUCACCCAUCUAUCACAGUGUGGAUCUCAUUGCUUCACAUGCACAGCCUAACCCAGGCUGGGCUGCCCUAGCCUGGGUUAGGCUGCGCAUGCGAAUAGCCUUUCUGACUGGAAUUUGUUGCCUUGAAAGUUUGUGAAGACUGUGGAGAAAGAUCAGAUCAGGACCUUGGAAAAAGGGUAUAAACACAAGAGACUUUGAAGCCUAAACUCCCUUUUUUAAAAAGGAACUUUUAACCACCAAUGUUUCAUGAAAUACCUGUGUGACCUUAUAUCUCUAAAUAUUUUAUUUUCCAGCAUCUUUCAAUAUUAGACAUAAACAUACCAAAAUUAAACUAAAGUCCCAUUAUUUUCAAUGGGGAGGGUUUAAGCAUGUGCUUAAGUGUCUCACUGGAAUAAAUUAGGCUUAAUUUUGGAUGGAUUGUGCCCAUCCAAAAUAAUUCCCUUUCCCCCAAAGGGCUCACAGUCUAAAAGGAAACACAAGGUGGACAUCAGCAGCAGCCACUAGAGGGUUGCAGUGCUGGGAAUGGAUAGGGCUAGUUGCAAUCCCACUGCUAAAUAAAGAGAACCACCACGUUAAAAAGGUGCCUCUUUGCCUAGUUAGCAGGGGGACUUAGGUAUCAGGAAUGGAAAAGCUCUCUGAGACCUUGAGAAGAGGCUGUUUGUUAGGAUGAACUCGGGGGUGUAGCAAGGUUGGGUUCUGGGAUGAAAAAUGAAAUGGGCCCCUGCCCCCUGUCUUUGUCUUCCGAGAGGCACAAGAAGGUGAGCAAAGAGCAAUCUCACACAGCUGGGGACCCCUCUCCCACAGGGACCCUGGGGCUUCCCCCCCCCCCAGCAAUGUUUAAUUGUAAGUAUGAAUUGUACCCUAGAAGGCUCCACCCUGGUUGCAUAUGAAAGGGAGACUACAUGUGUGAGCACUGAAAGAUAUUCCCCUUAAGGGUCGGAGCCACUCUGGCAAAAGCAGUAGGUUCCAAGUUCCCUCCCUGGCUUCUCCAAGAUCAGGCUGAGAGAGAUUCCUGCCUGCAACCUUGGAGAAGCCACUGCCAGUCUGUGUAGACAAUACUGAGCUAGAUGGACCAGUGGUCUGACUCAGUAUAUGGCAGCUUCCUAUGUUCCUAUGACUGUACUAAGCUAGAUGGGCCAGUGGUCUGCUGUGUACAAGGCAGCUUCACAAAUGUUUUUUCCAAACUGCUUUUGAAGAAUCAAAGCUGACCAGCAUCUGUAAAGAGCUCAAUUAGAGUGUGAUGCAUAUUGACAGGGCUUAAUCAUGUUAGGGUAAAUUUAUUGAUAUGACACCUGAAAUUAUUGCUAUGAACAUUUUUACCUUCGUGGGGCCUGACCCACAAUCUAAAUAAGCUAAUAUUAAUACAAUGCAGUCCAUUUGCUUUAAAGGAAGCAUCUGGCUUAAAUCCAAAUACUUUGCAUAUGUGAUGUUCAUUUUAAAAUAUAUCAUUAGCUCAAGGUAUAGUAAUACUAAUGUUUUCACGUGCACUAUCAGAGUUAACCAGAAAUGUGCAUGUAACUGUGAUAUAUUAGUCUGCUUAAACAAUAACAUAUAAAGUUCCUGUAUGCAAUAUUUAUUGAUGUCAUGUCAUUGCUUAUUUGCCACUUAUCCUGAAAUGGUCACUUCCAAUUUGGGACCCAGUCAUGUGAAGAGACUUGGCCAUAGUCUCUACAAUGAGGAGUUCUUUUGUUUUGUUCUUAAUUAUUUCUACCAGUAUCGGAGUACAAUUUGAAUUUAGCAACGAGGCAAAUUUAAUUUUAAUUUCAUAAAACUUACUGUUGCAUUUCCAAAAGAAGAGUCAUGACAAUUGCUCACCCUUUCCAUUGGGAAGCAAGGGAUUUUAAACUCCAGGGAGGUAAUUUACAUUAAACUUGCAGCAAGCCUUCUUAGUGAGUCUUUUAACUGGAUUUUAUUGUUCCUUUUUCUGUUAUGCUAUGGUCAGAUGACUACAUGCAAAUAAAAAUGUAUCUAUCAAACUA